rnacentral:rRNA from 1 species
CCUACGGGCGGCAGCAGUGGGGAAUAUUGCGCAAUGGGCGAAAGCCUGACGCAGCGACGCCGCGUGAGGGAUGAAGGUCUUCGGAUCGUAAACCUCUGUCAGCAGGGAAGAACGGUCACUGUGCUAAUCAGCAGUGAAUUGACGGUACCUGACUAAGAAGCACCGGCUAAAUACGUGCCAGCAGCCGCGGUAAUACGUAUGGUGCAAGCGUUAUCCGGAUGUACUGGGUGUAAAGGGAGCGCAGGCGGCGCGUUAAGUCUGGUGUGAAAGCCCGCGGCCCAACCGCGGGACUGCAUUGGGAACGGGCGCGCUGGAGUGCCGGAGGGGUAGGCGGAAUUCCUAGUGUAGCGGUGAAAUGCGUAGAUAUUAGGAGGAACACCAGUGGCGAAGGCGGCCUACUGGACGGUGACUGACGCUGAGGCUCGAAAGCGUGGGGAGCAAACAGGAUUAGAUACCCGAGUAGUC